GGUUGAUCCUGCCAGCAAUCAUAUGCUUGUCUCAAAGAUUAAGCCAUGCAUGUCUAAGUAUAAGCGAUUAUACGGCGAAACUGCGAACGGCUCAUUAUAUCAGUUAUAAUCUACUCGAUCGAUUCUGUUACUUGGAUAACUGUAGGAAUUCUAGAGCUAAUACAUGCGAAAGGUUCGACGCCGGGGCGACCCGGCGGCGAACGCGUUUAUUGGAACGGAAACCAGGAGGGGCGUACGCCUUGCGGCCGAUUCCGACCGUAAGGGCCCCGUCUACGGACGAUUCACGGUAAGCG
rnacentral:rRNA from 1 species